UAUCCCAUCUAACCCUAAUGUGUCA
rnacentral:siRNA from 1 species